rnacentral:lncRNA from 1 species
UGGAUGUAGGGAGGGAGGUUGUUGGAUGUGCCUCCCCUGCAGGUAUUUGAAUACAAGACAAUGAAGGCCUGAAACAAAGGACUGGGAUUUGGGGCAAGGACAUGUUUGUUGGCAACUAGUGGAGUUCUUCAAAGGGACUGUAAUGGCUGAGCCCAAAGCAGAGAGAUACACUUGUCUACCAUUUGGCACCUCAAGUUUAUAACCUUGUGGGAUGAAUACACUAGCAUGUGCCUGUGAGCCCCAUCCUUGAGGGGCAAAGGAGAGCUCAGUAUCUUAUUUCUUUAUUAUCGUCAUCCAGACUAAUUUCAAGAUAUCCAAGCUCUUCUUGCAACAUAACCCUCAUGUCUUGCUAUAUCACUAACUAAAAGACCCAAGUGUCAACUAUAAAGAUUUUUGUUGCUUGAGCUCAUUUCUGAAAAUGUACAGUAAGCCAGUAUCUUAUCCUUGAUAAAAAUAUUCCCUCCAUGAUGGGAACAUUAAUUUUAUGUGGCAAUUUGGCUGGGCCAUAGUUCCAGAUAUGUAGCUAAACAUUAUUCUGGACAUUUCUGUGAAUAAAUUUCUAUAUGAAGUCAAUAUUUAAAUCAAUGGAUUUUUAGUAAAAUAGAUUGCCUUCCAAAACAUGAGGGAGCCUUCUCCAAUCAGUCAAAGCCCUGAACAGAAUUUUAAAAAAGGCUGACGUCCCCAAGCAAGAGGG